rnacentral:rRNA from 1 species
CGUAUGCUCGUCUCCGAGACUAAGCCAUGCAAGUCCAAGUACACGUCCUUGAACGACGGAAACUGCGAACGGCUCAUUAAAUCAGUUGCGAUCUACUCGGCGUUCCGCGCCGCCGGAUAACCGUAGUAAUUCUAGGGCUAAUACGUGCGAAGCGCCCGAAGCCGCGAGGCGACGGCGUUCUCGCCGGAUGUAGGAACCGACCCGGGGGACCGCCCGGGGGCAACCCCGGCGCCCCCCGAGACGGGGCGAACCACGGUGAAAUGACGGAUCGUCGGCCCCGCGCCGGCGACUCGCCGAAUGAGUUUCUGACCUAUCAACUCGAGACGGCGGGGUAGAGGCCCGCCGCGGUAACGACGGGUAACGGGGAAUCAGGGUUCGAUUCCGGAGAGGGAGCCCGAGAAACGGCUACCACUUCCAAGGAAGGCAGCAGGCGCGCAACUUACCCUAAUCUC